rnacentral:lncRNA from 1 species
CAAGACAGAGCAGGUGUGAGAGCUGAGCAUCCUCCCCUUGCUGUGCUCCUCUGGUCUCCAAGGCACCCUCCCCAUGCGCUGCUUCCUUCCACUUACCGCCCUCGCACGGCACCACAUCCUGAGCUCUGCUUGUUCCCUCUUCAGACUGGCAGGUGGUUAUAGAGGUGUUUGGGGUGUCAGCUCUGAAAUGCUAAAAAUAAAACCAGGCUUUCUAUCCUGGGAUGUCUCAUUAGUUUGCUUACAAAUGAGUCCCCCUGCAGUUUUUCAGCAAUUGGCUAACAAGCUCUAAUUUGAGCGUUUGGGCUGGACCUUGGCUCAGUGGGAGCAGACGCGGAGCAGACGCCUUCUCGGAGCUGCCUGUUUGGGGAAGCUGGUCGUUUCCACUCUAGCUCAGCCUCCCAGAACAGGGAAGCUGCAGGAAAGUUGACAAAAGCACAGCAAAGCAGGGAGAGCCUCCUCGGUAGAGAGCAACGACCAGUCCUUCUAGGUCAUGUGGAGUGGGCCAGCUUUAAUGAACCUGUCUAAAAGGAAGGAAGAGAAAGAGCUCAGCUCCUUAGGGGAACAAGGUGGACCUUGGCAGCUGUCUCACUCCUCACCAGCUCUUCACCUCAGAUCUUGUCCUGACUUCCUGGUCCACUAACGGCCUCCUGGAUAGAAGAGUCAGGUAUUUGGCUAGAAGUUAUCACUGAUACGUUUCCAGAACACAUGGAGGCCAAGGCAGACAAAAGUAAAGAUGGAAACCAGACCAGUAAAUAAGUCCUUUGAUGAACUUCUGAGUCUCUACAGAUGAAGGCAAAGCUCCCUCACAGUUGCAGGCAACGUCUCAUCUUUUGUCACUUCUGGCAUGACACUGCACAGCCACAGCCAGUACGGUAUCUCUGCCUUUGCCCAUGUCCUGCCUUCUUUCUCCCUGGUCGGUAUCUCCUCACCUCAACCAGCUUGGCCAGCUCCUUGGUCAUUGGGGUUGCACCCACCCAGGCAUGUGCCUGGCUCCGCACAACCUCAGAAGCUCUCAGUACAGUGCAGGACCAGAGGUUGAAACCAAUGAAAGGUUGUUAAAUAAAGAGAAAAUGUUUAAUGCUGAGAACAAAGACUAGGAAAGAGAUGUCUAAUAAGAAAUUUUACAGUGAAAUACCAUGUGUUGUGCUCUGUAACUUCGUCUCCAUCUCCCUAACAUAGUGUUUAGUGAAAUCUACAGUGCUCACUCAUGCUUUGUGGAGUCUGGGGGUGAAAGCUUGUAGAUAUCCAACAUUUGCAUAACACUAGAAAGUCCACUUUGCCCUCUCCGAGAAAAUCUAGUGAUCCUGCUGUUUAUAUCUGAUUCAGAUCCCUCAAUAAGAGUUCUCUUGGUCUCAUUUUCAUACUGAUCCUAAGAAGCAUUCACUAACUAGGCUGUACCUACCUAGUACAGCUCUGUCCAUAUGGUAGAUCUGCAAUAGAUUCUUGGGAUCUUAUGGUAAUUAGAUAGCACGCCUAUUCUGGAAUAGUGGC